GACGAACGCUGGCGGCGUGCCUAAUACAUGCAAGUCGAACGCUGAAGGAGGAGCUUGCUUCUCUGGAUGAGUUGCGAACGGGUGAGUAACGCGUAGGUAACCUGCCUGGUAGCGGGGGAUAACUAUUGGAAACGAUAGCUAAUACCGCAUAAUAGCAGUUGUUGCAUGACAACUGUUUGAAAGGUGCAAUUGCACCACUACCAGAUGGACCUGCGUUGUAUUAGCUAGUUGGUGGGGUAACGGCUCACCAAGGCGACGAUACAUAGCCGACCUGAGAGGGUGAUCGGCCACACUGGGACUGAGACACGGCCCAGACUCCUACGGGAGGCAGCAGUAGGGAAUCUUCGGCAAUGGACGGAAGUCUGACCGAGCAACGCCGCGUGAGUGAAGAAGGUUGUCGGAUCGUAAAGCUCUGUUGUAAGAGAAGAACGAGUGUGAGAGUGGAAAGUUCACACUGUGACGGUAGCUUACCAGAAAGGGACGGCUAACUACGUG
rnacentral:rRNA from 1 species